AGAGUUUGAUCAUGGCUCAGGACGAACGCUGGCGGCGUGCUUAACACAUGCAAGUCGAACGAGGUCCAACCUCUCGCAAGAGAGGGGAAGACCUAGUGGCGAACGGGUGAGUAACACGUGAGCAACCUGCCCCGAAGUCUGGGAUAACACCGGGAAACCGGUGCUAAUACCGGAUGUCCCCACUGGAUCGCAUGGUCCGGUGAGGAAAGUUUUUCGCUUCGGGAGGGGCUCGCGGGCUAUCAGCUUGUUGGUGGGGUAACGGCCUACCAAGGCAACGACGGCUAGCUGGUCUGAGAGGAUGAUCGGCCAGACUGGGACUGCGAAACGGCCCAGACUCCUACGGGAGGCAGCAGUUAGGAAUUUUGGGCAAUGGGCGAAAGCCUGACCCAGCAACGCCGCGUGGGCGAUGAAGGCCUUCGGGUCGUAAAGCCCUUUUCCGAGGGAAGAUGAUGACGGUACCUCGGGAAUAAGCCCCGGCUAACUACGUGCCAGCAGCCGCGGUAAUACGUAGGGGGCAAGCGUUGUCCGGAUUCAUUGGGCGUAAAGCGCCCGCAGGCGGCCAACCAAGCCGCGCGUGAAAUCCCUCGGCUCAACUGGGGGCGGUCGCGCGGGACUGGUCGGCUCGAGGCCGGUAGGGGGGAGCGGAAUUCCGGGUGUAGUGGUGGAAUGCGUAGAGAUCCGGAGGAACACCAGUGGCGAAGGCGGCUCCCUGGACCGGUCCUGACGCUCAGGGGCGAAAGCGUGGGUAGCGAUCCGGAUUAGAUACCCCAGUAGUCC
rnacentral:rRNA from 1 species